CGCGGUAAUUCCAGCUCCAAUAGCGUAUAUUAAAGUUGUUGCAGUUAAAAAGCUCGUAGUUGGAUCUCGGGUCCGGGCUCGCGGUCCACCUCGCGGUGGUUACUGCCCGUCCCGACCUACCUACCGGUUUUCCCUUGGUGCUCUUAACUGAGUGUCUCGGGUGGCCGGAACGUUUACUUUGAAAAAAUUAGAGUGUUCAAAGCAGGCGCUUCGCCUGAAUAAUGUUGCAUGGAAUAAUGGAAUAGGACCUCGGUUCUAUUUUGUUGGUUUUCGGAACUCGAGGUAAUGAUUAAGAGGGACAGACGGGGGCAUUCGUAUGAUGGUGUUAGAGGUGAAAUUCUUGGAUCGCCGUCAGACGAACUACUGCGAAAGCAUUUGCCAAGAAUGUUUUCAUUAAUCAAGAACGAAAGUCAGAGGUUCGAAGACGAUCAGAUACCGUCCUAGUUCUGACCAUAAACGAUGCCGACUAGCGAUCCGCCGGAGUUGUUUCAAUGACCCGGCGGGCAGCUUCCGGGAAACCAAAGUCUUUGGGUUCCGGGGGAAGUAUGGUUGCAAAGCUGAAACUUAAAGGAAUUGACGGAAGGGCACCACCAGGAGUGGAGCCUGCGGCUUAAUUUGACUCAACACGGGAAAGCUUACCCGGCCCGGACACCGUAAGGAUUGACAGAUUGAGAGCUCUUUCUUGAUUCGGUGGGUGGUGGUGCAUGGCCGUUCUUAGUUGGUGGAGCGAUUUGUCUGGUUAAUUCCGAUAACGAACGAGACUCUAGCCUAUUAAAUAGUUCGCCGAUUUCGAUCUGUCGGCGUUAACUUCUUAGAGGGACAAGUGGCUUUUAGCCACGCGAGAUUGAGCAAUAACAGGUCUGUGAU
rnacentral:rRNA from 1 species